GACGAACGCUGGCGGCGUGCUUAACACAUGCAAGUCGAGCGGUAAGGCCCUUUCGGGGGUACACGAGCGGCGAACGGGUGAGUAACACGUGGGUGACCUGCCUUUAGCUCUGGGAUAAGCCUGGGAAACUGGGUCUAAUACCGGAUAUGACUCCGCGGUGCAUGCUGUGGGGUGGAAAGCCUUGUGCGGCUGGAGAUGGGCCCGCGGCCUAUCAGCUUGUUGGUGGGGUGAUGGCCUACCAAGGCGACGACGGGUAGCCGGCCUGAGAGGGCGACCGGCCACACUGGGACUGAGACACGGCCCAGGACUUCUACGGGAGGCAGCAGUGGGGAAUAUUGGACAAUGGGCNCAAGCCUGAUCCAGCCAUGCCGCGUGAGUGAUGAAGGCCU
rnacentral:rRNA from 1 species